rnacentral:rRNA from 1 species
GAUGAACGCUGGCGGCGUGCUUAACACAUGCAAGUCGAGCGAAGCGCUUAUGGAGAUUCUUCGGAUGAUUCAUUUGUGACUGAGCGGCGGACGGGUGAGUAACGCGUGAGUAACCUGCCUCAUACAGGGGAAUAACAGUUAGAAAUGACUGCUAAUGCCGCAUAAGCGCACAGGACCACAUGGUCUGGUGUGAAAAACUCCGGUGGUAUGAGAUGGACUCGCGUCUGAUUAGCUAGUUGGUGAGGUAACGGCCCACCAAGGCGACGAUCAGCAGCCGGCCUGAGAGGGUGAACGGCCACAUUGGGACUGAGACACGGCCCAAACUCCUACGGGAGGCAGCAGUGGGGAAUAUUGCACAAUGGGGGAAACCCUGAUGCAGCGACGCCGCGUGAGUGAAGAAGUAUUUCGGUAUGUAAAGCUCUAUCAGCAGGGAAGAAAAUGACGGUACCUGACUAAGAAGCCCCGGCUAACUACGUGCCAGCAGCCGCGGUAAUACGUAGGGGGCAAGCGUUAUCCGGAUUUACUGGGUGUAAAGGGAGCGUAGACGGCUUUGCAAGUCUGACGUGAAAAUCCGGGGCUCAACCCCGGAACUGCGUUGGAAACUGUGAGGCUUGAGUGCCGGAGAGGUAAGCGGAAUUCCUAGUGUAGCGGUGAAAUGCGUAGAUAUUAGGAGGAACACCAGUGGCGAAGGCGGCUUACUGGACGGCAACUGACGUUGAGGCUCGAAAGCGUGGGGAGCAAACAGGAUUAGAUACCCUGGUAGUCCACGCCGUAAACG